rnacentral:rRNA from 6 species
AAUCCAUAGGUUAAUGAGGCGAACCGGGGGAACUGAAACAUCUAAGUACCCCGAGGAAAAGAAAUCAACCGAGAUUCCCCCAGUAGCGGCGAGCGAACGGGGAGGAGCCCAGAGCCUGAAUCAGCAUGUGUGUUAGUGGAAGCGUCUGGAAAGGCGCGCGAUACAGGGUGACAGCCCCGUACACAAAAGCGCAUGUGCUGUGAGCUCGAUGAGUAGGGCGGGACACGUGGUAUCCUGUCUGAAUAUGGGGGGACCAUCCUCCAAGGCUAAAUACUCCUGACUGACCGAUAGUGAACCAGUACCGUGAGGGAAAGGCGAAAAGAACCCCGGCGAGGGGAGUGAAAAAGAACCUGAAACCGUGUACGUACAAGCAGU